UUUCUUUCUUUCUUUCUUUCUUUCUUUCUUUCUUUCUUUCUUCUUUCUUUCUUCCUUUCUUCUUUAAGGAGGCAUGCUAGAGAAACAGUAACUCAUUUUAAAAUCUGGCACCUGGAAUGAAAUUUAUGGGCAAAAACACCUUUAUACAAAAAGUUUAUGGCUUCCCACAGAACGCAGUGAGAUUAGAAUUGAGCGACUGUAACAAAGGGUGAUUUGGUGAUUUUGUAGGGUUUUUCUGUUUUUUUUUUCUUUUUUUUUUUUUCUGGAGGGGAAAACAGAUGAUUUAGAAAGUGUUAGGAACAUAUCAAGCCCCAGGGAAAGAAAAACGUUUGAUUGGUAUUAAUUAAAACACUGCUAAUAUAUUCUAAUAAAAUCAGAUUUAACAUUCUAAACUAAUCCGCCUAGCAUGUCAAAGGCAAAGAAAAGUAUUAUCUAUCUUAUUUGCAUCUGGGCAACUCGAAUGCAUUUGCUCAUUCGGCAGAAUUAAUUUCUAUCACCAGUCUAUUUAAUCUCCUCACAGAUUUAAGCAAACUUAUUCUUUCAGGCUAAAAGGGCCCAGGGUGGGGAAACCAUGGACGGUAUUUGGAAGAGCAGUGACUGUAUUUGGGGCCCAUUUUCUGGCUGACCAUAGUCUUUUCUCUUCAUUCGUUAUAAUGGGAUGUGGAGAACGGCAGAGAUUGCAGAGUGAUAAACGGCUCAGGGAGUCUUUUUUUUUUUUCUUCUUCCUCCUUUCUCUCCUUAUAUUAUACCUGGUGGCUUAUUUAAAAAAUUUGGUUGCUAAAUUUUAACAAUGGCAUUUAUUUAGUGCUGCCAACCUGUUCAUGAACAUCUAAUUUUUGUUUUCUAAUUUCAGAACCUAUAUCAUCACAGAUUUCUAAUGGAAAAUAAAUAGAUAGAUAGAUAAACAAAUAAAGGUACUUAUACCAAAAACCCAUUAUUUUUCUUAGCUAUUUUCUUUUAAGCUUCAGUCCUAAGGGUCAGUGAGGAAAUAUAAAAUUUCAAUCACCAAGAACUGAGUUCUUUGUUCUGUUUUUAAGUCAAAUAUCUCUUUGGGAGAAUUCCAUAUUUUCAUGGAGCAUGGAGUUUCAGCUCUUUAUUGCUAAGCUCUCCCGACUGAUAACAUCAUCCUCAGAUGGUAUUAUGGCCAAAAUAUUUUGCCUGAAUAUUAGUCUCCUGAACCUGAUAGCCCAUGCAAAUAUGAACCUAACACACACACACACACACAAAGAUGAAUGGGCCGGAAAUGCUGAGGCCCGUAUGGGUGUGUUUCUAUAAGGAGGGAGUCUGCAGGCUGUGGGGAGGUAGACUGCCUGCAGUCUGCAUCACGGAGGUGGCUGCAGAGAUCUUUCUCCAUUGCCUUUUCAAGUCUUCAAGGUAAAAGAGCAACUGCAGUUUGGUUUCACUUGUAUUGUUCCAUAAUCCAGGCAAUAAAUGCUAAUUAGUAAUGCUCAAGGAUCCGACCAUUCAGAGUAAUUAUCAUAAUUUACUUCUUCCUUGUUAAAGACAUUCCUUGCUGAUUUU
rnacentral:lncRNA from 1 species